rnacentral:rRNA from 1 species
GAUGAACGCUGGCGGCGUGCUUAACACAUGCAAGUCGAACGGAAAGGCCACAGCUUGCUGUGGUACUCGAGUGGCGAACGGGUGAGUAACACGUGGGUGAUCUGCCCUGUACUUCGGGAUAAGCUUGGGAAACUGGGUCUAAUACCGGAUAGGAAUCACAUGUGGGUGUGUGGUUGGAAAGCUUUUGCGGUAUGGGAUGAGCUCGCGGCCUAUCAGCUUGUUGGUGGGGUAAUGGCCUACCAAGGCGUCGACGGGUAGCCGGCCUGAGAGGGUGUACGGCCACAUUGGGACUGAGAUACGGCCCAGACUCCUACUGGAGGCAGCAGUGGGGAAUAUUGCACAAUGGGCGCAAGCCUGAUGCAGCGACGCCGCGUGGGGGAUGACGGCCUUCGGGUUGUAAACUCCUUUCGUCAGGGACGAAGCGAAAGUGACGGUACCUGGAUAAGAAGCACCGGCUAACUACGUG